rnacentral:rRNA from 1 species
GACGAACGCUGGCGGCGUGCUUAACACAUGCAAGUCACGGGGGUCCCGCAAGGGAUAACCGGCGAACGGGUGCGUAACACGUGAACAACCUGCCCUCGUGUGGGGGAUAGCCAUGCUAACGCGUGGGUAAUACCGCACACGUUCCUCUGGGGGAGUCCCUGGGGGAGGAAAGCUCCGGCGCACGGGGAGGGGUUCGCGGCCUAUCAGCUAGUUGGGGGGU